CUGCGGCGCCGGAGUAACAUCCAGGCGCCGUAGCUUUAGUAGGAAUUUCAGCCCAAAAAGUCGGAAUUCCACUCUGAAAAUUUGUUGACCAGCAGGAGCAUCCGGGGCAGUUCCCGGAAACUAUCUGCGCGGUCCGUAGUGGCUUUACCUGAGUCGCUGCUUCAGAACUUGGGAAGUCAUGCUGCGGUCUCCACGCUGGUGGUGUCUCCUUAUCAAAGGUGACCA
rfam:Pseudomonas sp. Chol1 Contig72, whole genome shotgun sequence.